rnacentral:tRNA from 1 species
GCCCCUGUAGCUCAGCCGGAUAGAGCAGCGGCCUUCUAAGCCGACGGUCGGGGGUUCGAAUCCUCCCAGGGGCGCCA